rnacentral:pre_miRNA from 1 species
CCUUCUUCUCGUUUGCCUUUUUCUGCUUCUGCUGCAUGAUCUCCGAGUCCCUGGGGGGUGGGGGGUAGAGAUGAUGGGGCACUGGGAGGUACCAGAGGGCAAAAAAG